UGAAUACGAGAUGCUACGGCGUCGAAGCAGUCUAUGUCAUACUUCCAAGAAAAGCUCGCACUGUCAUAAACAAAUAAUGCCUGUACCAUAACCGACACAGGUGGGUAGGUAGAGUAUACUAAGGGGCGCGAGAUAACUCUCUCUAAGGAACUCGGCAAAAUGACUCCGUAACUUCGGGAGAAGGAGUGCCUUAUUUAUAAGGUUGCAAUAACAAGAUCCAAGCAACUGUUUAUCAAAAACACAGGUCUCCGCCAAGUCGUAAGACGAUGUAUGGGGGCUGACGCCUGCCCAGUGCCAGAAGGUUAAAGAAGUUGGUUAGCAUUCGCGAAGCUGAUAACUGAAGCCCUGGUGAACGGCGGCCGUAACGAUAACGGUCCUAAGGUAGCGAAAUUCCUUGUCGGGUAAGUUCCGACCCGCACGAAAGGCGUAAUGAUUUGGAUACUGUCUCGGAGAGGGGCUCGGUGAAAUAGACUUGUCUGUGAAGAUGCGGACUACCUGCACCAGGACAGAAAGACCCUAUGAAGCUUUACUGUAACUUGAGAUUGAAAUUGGACUUUACUUGCGCAGUAUAGGUGGGAGGCGUUGAUAAUAUUCUUGCGGGAUUAUUUGAGCCAUCAGUGAGAUACCACUCUUGUAAUGUUAGAUUUCUAACUUUGUAUCAUUAUCUGGUCAAAGGACAGUUUCAGGCGGGCAGUUUGACUGGGGCGGUCGCCUCCUAAACGGUAACGGAGGCGCACAAAGGUUUCCUCUGAACGGGUAGAAAUCGUAUCUAGAGUGUAAAGGCAUAAGGAAGCUUGACUGUGAGACCUACAAGUCGAGCAGGGACGAAAGUCGGUCUUAGUGAUCUGACGGUGCUGAGUGGAAAGGCCGUCACUCAACGGAUAAAAGUUACUCUAGGAUAACAGGCUGAUCUCCCCCAAGAGUUCACAUCGACGGGGAGGUUUGGCACCUCGAUGUCGGCUCAUCGCAUCCUGGGGCGGUAGUACGUCCCAAGGGUUGGGCUGUUCGCCCAUGAAAGCGGUACGCGAGCUGGGUUCAGAACGUCGUGAGACAGUUCGGUCCAUAUCCGGUGUAGGCGUUAGAAUAUUGAGAGGAGCCUUCUUUAGUACGAGAGGACCGAGAAGGACAUACCUCUGGUGUACCAGUUAUCGUGCCAACGGUAAACGCUGGGUAGCUAUGUAUGGAGUGGAUAACCGCUGAAAGCAUCUAAGUGGGAAGCCCACCUCAAGAUAAG
rnacentral:rRNA from 1 species